rnacentral:rRNA from 1 species
AUGAACGAUGAUCUCAUCAAGCCUUACACUGCUGAAGAGGUGAAGGUUGCGCUGUUCUAGAUGGCGCCCUCCAAAGCCCCUGGAGUAGAUGGUUUUACUGCAGGGUUUUAUCAGCGCCAUUGGGAUUUGCUAGGCGCUGAUGUGACACUGGCAGUUCUGGAUUUUCUCAACGGAGGUGAGUUACCAGUGGGGCUGAACGAUACUUCUAUCACUCUAAUCCCCGAGGUACGCCAUCCGCAAUUGAUCUCACAGUAUUGACCUAUUGCUUUGUGUCCGGUCUUGUACAAGAUUGCAGCCAAGGCUAUUACAAAUCGGUUGAGAAACAUGAUGGAUCUAAUCAUCAGUGAAGAACAAAGUGCCUUCGUCCCGGGACGUCUUAUUACAGAUAACGUGCUAGUUGCUUAUGAAAGUAUACACACGAUGAAAAGAAGGAAGAAGGGGCGGAAUUUUUCUUGUGCGGUUAAGCUCGAUAUGAUGAAGGCUUAUGAUCGUGUAGAGUGGCAUCAUCUUGAAGCAAUAUUGUCACGUCUCAGUUUCAGCAUUAGCUUCAUUAGACUAAUCAUGAAGUGUGUCUCCUCUGUACGGUUCUCAGUUCGUGUUAAUGGAGAGCUACUACCAUAUUUCACACCAACGAGGGGUUUUCGACAAGGUGAUCCUGUGUCACCAUAUUUAUUUUUGUUGUGUGCUGAAGGCCUUUCCUCAUUGUUGAAAUACUACAAUGGAGGAGUUGUUGACAGGGGGCUGCGGGUGAGCUAUCGAUCUCCGUGGGUCACCCAUCUCUUAUUUGCGGAUGACAGCCUCACCUUCAUCAAGGCAAACAAUCUGAGUGCUAUCCGUUUGAAUGAAAUUCUCAGAAUUUAUGGUGAAGCUUCGGGUCAGUGUGUCAAUAGAGACAAAAGCUCAAUAUAUUUCAACACCAACACACCAUCAGAUCUGCGGCAAGUCUUGAAGGCUACUCUGAACAUUCAAGUAGAAGCUUUCAAUGAAAAGUAUCUGGGUCUACCCACAGCUGUUGGGCGGAUCACGAGUGGGACUUUUGAUCAUAUCAGCGAAAGGGUACGUUCAAAAAUCCAGGGAUGGUCAGAGAGGCUACUAGCUUGUGCGGGGCGUGACACUUUGUUAAAAUCAAUAGCUCAAGCUAUUCCCACAUAUCCUAUGAGUACCUUUCUGCUUACCAAGAAAGUUUGCAAGAGCUUAACUUCACCCAUGGCUAAAUACUUUUGGGGCAGUUCUCUUGACAAGAAGGCUAUGCAU